CGCACAAGCGGUGGAGCAUGUGGUUUAAUUCGAUGCAACGCGAAGAACCUUACCUGGUCUUGACAUCCACAGAACUUAGCAGAGAUGCUUUGGUGCCUUCGGGAACUGUGAGACAGGUGCUGCAUGGCUGUCGUCAGCUCGUGUUGUGAAAUGUUGGGUUAAGUCCCGCAACGAGCGCAACCCUUAUCCUUUGUUGCCAGCGGUUCGGCCGGGAACUCAAAGGAGACUGCCAGUGAUAAACUGGAGGAAGGUGGGGAUGACGUCAAGUCAUCAUGGCCCUUACGACCAGGGCUACACACGUGCUACAAUGGCAUAUACAAAGAGAAGCGACCUCGCGAGAGCAAGCGGACCUCAUAAAGUAUGUCGUAGUCCGGAUUGGAGUCUGCAACUCGACUCCAUGAAGUCGGAAUCGCUAGUAAUCGUAGAUCAGAAUGCUACGGUGAAUACGUUCCCGGGCCUUGUACACACCGCCCGUCACACCAUGGGAGUGGGUUGCAAAAGAAGUAGGUAGCUUAACCUUCGGGAGGGCGCUUACCACUUUGUGAUUCAUGACUGGGGUGAAGUCGUAACAAGGUAACCGUAGGGGAACCUGCGGUUGGAUCACCUCCUUACCUUAAAGAA
rnacentral:rRNA from 1 species